rnacentral:lncRNA from 10 species
CAGGUGAGCGGCGCGCCCCACCCGGGCCUCCGAGGCCACCGCUGGGUAAAGGGAGCGAAGCCGAGGGGGGCGCCCGUGCUGGCUGGGGUCCGAGACCCGGUUUCCUCCGUGACCCAGCAAGUGUCGAGACGCGCCCAGGGACAGGAGCUGGACUUGGAGUCCACUAGGGGCAAUCUCCCGCCCUUCCCGCUGCUCCGUGCCAGGCCCGAGCUUGUCUCGAGCCAGAAGGGCCAGCCUCGGAGGAGGUUACAGCGUCCGGGCGGCCGGACGGGAGCUGACAGCACACCCGUGGCCCUGAGCGGCGACGCGCCCUAGAAAGCCCGUGGGCCCGACCCCGCGGGGGGCCCUCCCCACCCCGCCCGGACGUCCUCCUCACGCCGAUCCUUUCCCUCUUUCUUCCCCUUGGACCUCUGUCCUCAACUUUCUUCUGUCCCUUUCCUCGAAGGACACCUCUCCCAGGACUGGGGCCGCGCUCCAGGGCUCCCCCUCCCCCGCCACCCGCGCAGCCCGGCAUAUGCCUCGACCCAGCACCCGGGCCUCAGAGGAGCUGGGGUGAGGCCUGGGACGUGACAGACUAGGUCCCUGCCCUCUGGGGCUUCCAUUCCGUGGGGGAGCAGCAGAAACUGGCGCGUCUACCUUUGCCAGUAGCUAGGAGUGCCAUGAGAACAAGGGAAGGGGUGGGAGGGCGUCGCCUACGGAGACGAAGGAAGGCCUCCCGCGCUCAUCCGCCUCCGCCUUCGGAGCACUGUGCUUGGUGUCAUAACUUUUUACUGAAAAAAAAAUUUCAAAGAGAAAAUAUUCUAAAAUAAACAGCA